UUUGCGCCAACCUGGAGCCCGGAGGAGCCGCAGAGGGCCGGGUCUGGGCCGGGCCAGGGCCGAGUGUGGGCCAGGAGCCGGGCCAGGAAGGGAGGGAGGUGGCACCAGUGGGGGCCGGGCCCAGGCCCAGUCGGGAGCCGAAGCUCAGUUCAAGCUCCUCCCGACUCUCUGUCCCGGACUGGGGAGGAACGAGUUGGAGUCGGGUCCAGCCGCCAGUUUGGGCUUGGGCUGCCCCGCCCCCGAUAUCUCGGCUGGGCUGGUCCCUCAGGCCUCGGCCGCGGCUUUUCAGGUGCUGGAGACUCAGCGGAGCUGCAAGCGGACGGAUGUCUUCCCAGCACCCACCGCCCCCUUCCGCCCACCUCAGGCAUGCAGACAUGGGAGUCCCACUGUAUGUCGCAGACUGAGGCCCCAGCCCCACUGAGGGCAAAAGGCACAUCUUUGCUUUGGGCCUCUCCUAUUCUCCAAUAGGAUUUUCCAGCUGGAAUGGAAUUCACUAGGUCAUUCACAUCAUCUCCCUGCCCUGUGCCUAAAUCAUUCUAACUACUUGAGAAUGGAUGAUAUAUUGAGGGCAUUCUCAAGAAGGUGAGUACAUAAUCUUUCUAUCCUUUACUCCUUUUCUUUAUUCAUCUUUAUAAGGGUAACUUCAGAGUUCUGAUGACACAGCAUCACCUUGGAUUCAAGAGCCAACUGGGAUGGAUUGUGAGAAGGAGCCAGGGUGCUCUGAUAGUGGCAAAAGAAGUCCAAAGACAGAGAAGGCUUUGGUUUUGUUACCCGCAAUCAGGAAGAGUCCUGAUAGGAACCCACAUUACUGGGAAAUGGAUUUGAAUGUCAACACCUUUAGAUGGCCAAAGUGGAAGCAUGGAGGGUAACGGAUAUUGGACAUAGCCUGAUUUCAGCUUGAGCCAGAAGGCUAUUCAUAAUAAUAGGUGCAUUAAAAACAAAUCAAUUGGCUAUGUGCAUGGAGCCUGCUUCCUGAAUGCCAAGGAAGCAGUCUGCUUAAUAGUUUGUCUAUUAUUAGAGCAGGCAUAGAGGGGGAAAGAUGACGGAAGCAGCAGAAGCAUUAUGGAAAAGAAAGAGAUAGAAAAUACUUAACCCUCUGAGGGUAGUAUAGAAGAGCAAAGCUUGAAGUGAAAGUAUGUAAUGUAUUGGUUUCUUGACCCUAUCCAAGGGAGAAAUUUAAUGAGUUUUAUUUUAGCCUUUUAUUAAUUCAUUUAAAAAACUCAUUUAAGAGAUAUUUAUUGAAAGCCAAUUAUGUGCUAAAUAUUGUGCUAAGAAUUUCCCCAUUCUGAAAAGAGGAACCCUUGUAAGACUGGAACAGAGGUGUCUUGGGUACAUGGUUAUGAUGCAGUAUAAAGAUGGGCUUUGCCCUUAUUACAUCUGAUUCUCUUCUGAUAGACUGACCUUGGGCAUAGAAUCAGCAUUAUUUGUUUUCGUAUCCUUAGCAUUUAACACGAUGCCUUAUACAAAGAAGGUGCUCAGUACGUAGAUAAAUAAAUAGAUGUCGCUACUUGAUGUAAUAAAGCCCCGGUUUCUUCAUUCAGAAACAAUACAGAUGAGGCCUAUCUUUUAGGUUUGUUGUGAGGAUUAGAAGUAAAGUAUGGAAAGCACCUAGUACAGCACCCAUCAUGUGCUCAAUAAAUGUUAGCAAUAAGACAGUUUGAGGAUUGCUUUUAUUGAAAAGAGAAAAGAAAACCUGAUAUGUUCUUUGGCAUUAGUCCAAUUCCAAAAUCUAAAAUAGCACAUCAGAGCUGGAAGGGACCUUCUACAAAGUCCAAACUCCUCAUUUUACAGAUGGGAAAACUGAAGCCUAAAGAGGGAAAAGGAUUUACUUAAUGUUACAUCUAAAUUAUCUACACUUUUCCUUGUAAUUACCUCAAAUCAUUGUGGAAGGUGAUAUAACAUACAAACAUACAUAUGAGCUAGGGACAUCAUUUAAUAAACGAGGAAAUUGACAUGGAAAAAAGUUAAAUAAUUUGCCCAAGGACCUAUGAUUCACACUAUAGCAGUCUGGCUUCAGAGUCUGUGAUUUUAACCGUUAUACUUCUCUAUUACAGCACUUAUAAAAUUAUAUUAAAAUGACCCAUUUGACAUGUCUCCCCACUAGAACUUAAGCUCCUUGAGGGCAGGAAGUGUGUGAUUUCCACUGUGGAUAGUUAUUUAUUUAUUUAACAAAUAUGUAUUGGGCAACUAUUAUACACCAGGACUUGCUAGCCCCAGAGAGCAGGCCUUAUCUUUGAAGCCAGAUUAUCUAGCUCUGUAAUGCUAUUGGUGUUCAUUUUCCUUCUGUUAUCGCCUUCUCUUUACUAAUGUCUUAUUGAGCGUUUCAGCUUAGUCUUAUCUGUUCUAAGGAGCACGAGGUUCUGUGCCCAUGCCUGGACCAGGCUGUUAAAGGAGAAUAGCCAGUGAGAAACUUCAUGGGGAAAGUGAAGUGCCAGAGAGAUGAUAAAAUCUGGAGUUCCUCACCAUUUGGAGAGGUUUCUUUUAGUAAAAGUUUUGGGGUAUUGCAUUUGGCAGGAUUUUUUUUUAAUUCAAUUUAGAAAAUGUCCUGGCCUUACAGUACCCUUUUGCCUAUCUCCCACUCAUUUGGCCUUCUAAGAAGUCACAGUCUACCUCUACCUCUACCUCUACCUCUACCUCUACCUCUACCUCUACCUAUACCUAUACCUACCUCUACCUCUACCCUCUUUCCACGGUCUCCCUCUGAUGCCGAGCCGAAGCUGUACUGUACUGCUGCCAUCGCGGCUUACUGCAACCUCCCUGCCUGAUUCUCCUGCCUCAGCUUGCCGAGCGCCUGUGAUUGCAGGCGCGCGCCGCCACACCUGACUGGUUUUCGUAUUUUUUUGGUGGAGACGGGGUUUCGCUGUGUUGGCCGGGCUGGUCUCCAGCUCCUAACCGCAAGUGAUCUGCCAGCCUCGGCCUCCCAAGGUGCCGGGAUUACAGACGGAGUCUCGUUCACUCAGUGCUCAAUGUUGCCCAGGCUGGAGUGCAGUGGCGUGAUCUCGGCUAGCUACAACCUCCACCUCCCAGCAGCCUGCCUUGGCCUCCCAAAGUGCCGAGAUUACAGCCUCUGCCCAGCCGCCACCCCGUCUGGGAAGUGAGGAGCUUCUCUGCCUGGCCGCCCAUCGUCUGGGAUGUGAGGAGCCCCUCUGCCCGGCCACCCAGUCUGGGAAGUGAGGAGCGCCUCUUCCCGGCUGCCAUCCCAUCUAGGAAGUGAAGAGCAUCUCUGCCCGGCCGCCCAUCGUCUGAGAUGUGGGGAACGCCUCUGCCCCGCCACCCCGUCUGGGAUGUGAGGAGUGCCUCUGCCCCGCCGCCCCAUCUGGGAUGUGAGGAGCGCCUCUGCCCGGCCGCGACCCCAUCUGGGAGGUGAGGAGCGUCUCUGCCUGGCCUCCCCCUCUGAGAAGUGAGGAGCCCCUCCGCCUGGCAGCCACCCCUCUGAGAAGUGAGGAGCCCCUCCGCCCGGCAGCCACCCCAUCUGGGAAGCCAGGAGCAUCUCCGCCCGGCAGCCACCCUGUCCGGGAGGGAGGUGGGGGGCAGCCCCCACCCGGCCAGCUGCCCCAUCCCGGAGGGAGGUGGGGGGCGCAUCUGCCCGGCCGCCCCUUCUGGGAAGUGAGGAGCCCCUCUGCCCGGCCACCACCCCAUCUGGGAGGUGUACUCAACAGCUCAUUGAGAACGGGCCAUGAUGACGAUGGCGGUUUUGCGGAAUAGAAAAGGGGGAAAGGUGGGGAAAAGAUAGAGAAAUCAGAUUGUUGCUGUGUCUGUGUAGAAAGAAGUAGACAUGGGAGACUUCACUUUGUUCUGUACUAAGAAAAUUCUUCUGCCUUGGGAUGCUGUUGAUCUAUGAUCUUACCCCCAACCAUGUGCUCUCUGAAACAUGUGCUGUGUCCACUCAGGGUUAAAUGGAUUAAGGGCGGUGCAAGAUGUGCUUUGUUAAACAGAUGCUUGAAGGCAGCAUGCUCGUUAAGAGUCAUCACCACUCCCUAAUCUCAAGUACCCAGGGACACAAACACUGCAGAAGGCUGCAGGGUCCUCUGCCUAGGAAAACCAGAGACCUUUGUUCACUUGUUUAUCUGCUGACCUUCCCUCCACUAUUGUCCUAUGACCCUGCCAAAUCCCCCUCUGCGAGAAACACCCAAGAAUGAUCAAAAAAAGAAAGAAAACCUCUGUGCUUUGGGCUUUACCACUUAUUGGGUUUGUGGCUUUUUGCAAGUUAUAUAACAUGUCUGUGGUGCAAUUAUCUCAUAUGUAAUCAUAAUUGUACUUCACACAAUUGUCAUCGAGAUUUUCUGAGAUAAAUGAUAAUAAUAAUUGCUAACACUUCCUGGGCACU